AGGGGCCGGGCAGGCGUGGAUCUGGGCAGUGAAGGCGUGUGUGAGCCACAGGCACUGUAUGACCUAUGGGAUGGCAGCAGAGCCAGGAUCAGAGGAUCCCAGAGGGCCUCUGGAAGGCAGAGUGCAGUGACCCUGCAGGAAGCUUGGACAGGAGGACCAGACCCGGCCCUGGCUCCUACUCUACUCCAACCCCAGGCACGCACUGAGCCCUGGCCCCGUCCCCUGUGGACCGUAUGGAGGGUGAGACCACGGGAUGGGUGUCCGCAGUGCCCUCUAGGAUGCUGUCCCCCGACACGGCACCAUGGUGCUACCUCCUCCAGCAUCACGAUUCUGCCUCACCAGCACCACAGCCUUGCCUCCAGGGCCAUGGCCCCAGACAGUGGCCACUGCCUCACUGGCUGUGAGUGUGCGCGGGGCCUCCUUCAUCACACUCAGAGAAGAGGGACCCUGGGCUUCACCGGAUGAAACUGGUAAGGGGUGGGGUGGGCAGACCACCAGAGAGCGGUGACCCUCACUGUACCUCAUUCCUGCGGUGCCCCCCGACAAGCCUCUGAGGGAAGGUCCCAUCCUUGCCAUUUUCCGUGAGGAGCCUGAGUGAGCAAAGGGCGGAGGCGACCCUGACCCCAGAGCGAGAUGGCUGUGUCUCCCCGCCCUCCUUGCACUCCCCUUUCGCUUGCAGUUCCCUGGGGCAUUUGCCCUGGGGCCACCAGGGGAGAGGGGUCCGGCCCUCAGACUGUCCAGAAACACCUGGAGGGGUGGGCCCCUGCCACCUGCCCCUUGCCCACACAGCGCAGGGCUGUUGCCUGCGCACCUGACAGCUCCAGAGCUCCCGCGGCCCCGGACGAGCUCUGUCCAAGGUGCUGAAGGAGAAGCGCUGAGCCCUAGGUGGUUUUGCUGCUCACUGAUGUCCCCGCAAGGGCCAGGAAGGGUCAGGAACGACUUGGGUCUGAGGAAGUCGACCUGGGCCCCCCGGGGAGCUGUCGUGUGUGUGUCCCAGUCGACAACGAGUGAGGAACUGAGGCCUCUGCCAGACGCUGUGUGACUAAGCUUAGAAGCAGACGCCUCCUCAGUGGAACCCUCAGAUGACCCAGCCCAGCUGGCACCUCCACUGUAGCUCAGAGCCACCCUGAGCUGAGCCCCUUAUGAGUUCCUGAUUAAAGAAACCGAGAGAGUAC
ensembl:lncRNA